rnacentral:rRNA from 1 species
ACGUAGGGUGCGAGCGUUAAUCGGAAUUACUGGGCGUAAAGCGUGCGCAGGCGGCACUGUAAGACAGAUGUGAAAUCCCCGGGCUCAACCUGGGAACUGCAUUUGUGACUGCAGAGCUAGAGUGUGUCAGAGGGGGGUGGAAUUCCACGUGUAGCAGUGAAAUGCGUAGAGAUGUGGAGGAACACCGAUGGCGAAGGCAGCCCCCUGGGAUAACACUGACGCUCAGGCACGAAAGCGUGGGGAGCAAACAGG